GGCAUAGCGCUUACCGAACCUUAUCAAACUCCGAAUGCCACAUACUUUGAGCUCGGCAGUCAGACUACGAAUGAUAAGAUCCGUGGUCAAAAGGGAAACAGCCCAGACCACCAGCUAAGGUCCCAAAUGCCGUACUAAGUGGAUAAGGAUGUGGGGUCUCAUAAACAACCAGGAUGUUGGCUUAGAAGCAGCCACCAUUUAAAGAGUGCGUAAUAGCUCACUGGUCGAGAGGUCCUGCGCCGAAAAUGUCCGGGGCUAAAACGCGCCACCGAAACUAAGGAAUGUAGUGAUACAUUGGUAGAGGAGCAUUGCAUGCGGGACGAAGCAGUACCGUAAGGAGCUGUGGACUGCAUGGAAGAGAGAAUGCCGGAAUGAGUAGCGAGAUAGAGGUGAGAAUCCUCUAGGCCGAAUAUCCAAGGUUUCCAGGGUAAAGCUGAUCUGCCCUGGGUAAGUCGGGGCCUAAGGCGAGGACGAGAGUCGUAGCCGAUGGACAACAGGUGGAGAUUCCUGUACUGCGAUAUAACAGAACUGUGGGGACACGUGCAGAAAGUGGAAGCCGGGAACGGAAAGCCCGGUGCAAGUGAGGUACCAGUCACAUAGGCAAAUCCGUGUGGCAAUGGGAAGACACGAUGCGGACCGAAAUAAAGUAGGGAAGUCCAUGAGCUGUGCGUCAAGAAAAGCCGCUAUUGUUUAUAUCGUACCCGUACCGUAAACCGACACAGGUGGAUGAGGAGAGAAUCCUAAGGCCGGCGGAAGAAGCAUUGUCAAGGAACUCGGCAAAAUGACCCCGUAACUUCGGGAGAAGGGGUGCUGCACAAUGUGCAGCCGCAGUGAAUAGGCCCAGGCGACUGUUUAUCAAAAACACAGGUUUCUGCAAAAUCGUAAGAUGAAGUAUAGGGGCUGACGCCUGCCCGGUGCUGGAAGGUUAAGAGGAUGGGUUAGCGUAAGCGAAGCUCAGAAUUGAAGCCCCAGUAAACGGCGGCCGUAACAAUAACGGUCCUAAGGUAGCGAAAUUCCUUGUCAGGUAAGUUCUGACCCGCACGAAUGGCGUAAUGACUUGGGCACUGUCUCAACUGUAAAUCCGGCGAAGUUGUAGUGCGAGUGAAGAUGCUCGCUACCCGCGAUUGGACGGAAAGACCCCGUAGAGCUUUACUGUAGCUUAGCAUUGAGUUUUGGUAUUGUCUGUACAGGAUAGGUGGGAGACUAGGAAACCAGGGCGUCAGCCUUGGUGGAGUCAACCUUGGGAUACCACCCUGACAGUACUGAAAUUCUAACUGGCGGCCAUGAAUCUGGUCACAGGACAUUGUUAGGUGGGC
rnacentral:rRNA from 1 species